GACGAACGCUGGCGGCGUGCUUAACACAUGCAAGUCGUACGGUAAGGCCCUUUCGGGGGUACACGAGUGGCGAACGGGUGAGUAACACGUGAGUAACCUGCCCACAACUUUGGGAUAACGCUAGGAAACUGGUGCUAAUACUGGAUAUGUGCUCCUGCUGCAUGGUGGGGGUCGGAAAGCUCCGGCGGUUGUGGAUGGACUCGCGGCCUAUCAGCUUGUUGGUGGGGUAGUGGCCUACCAAGGCGGCGACGGGUAGCCGGCCUGAGAGGGUGACCGGCCACAUUGGGACUGAGAUACGGCCCAGACUCCUACGGGAGGCAGCAGUGGGGAAUAUUGCACAAUGGGCGCAAGCCUGAUGCAGCAACGCCGCGUGCGGGAUGACGGCCUUCGGGUUGUAAACCGCUUUCAGCAGGGACGAAGCUUUUUGUGACGGUACCUGCAGAAGAAGCACCGGCUAACUACGUG
rnacentral:rRNA from 1 species